rnacentral:lncRNA from 1 species
CGGGGUGAGGCUGUUUCCCGAGCACCCCCCACCCCCGCAGAGGCGCCCCCCCGCGGGGUUACAUCAACACGCCCCCGCCGCGUGGAGGGCUCGGCAGGAGCCGCGCCUCCCACCCCCUCGCGGCCUCCCUCCCUCCCGGCCGAGGCUGCUAUUUUCGGCACCACGUUAUUUCCUGCUGUGAUUUUUUUCAGCCUGCUAAUUCGGGCUCUGAGGUAAGCCGUGACAUCCGCUCCGCGCGCCCGCCCCCGCACCCCCCCUCGCUCCCGCACCCCCCCCCGCUCCCGCGCCCUCCCCCCGGGGCGCGAGCACCCCGCGAGGCCCCCUCGCUGCACCCUGGGACGUCAAGGAUUCACUCCGCGAAGCUCGCCUAAGAAUAGGCUGGGAGGAGGCGGGCUGCUCCGCCCCCGCGCCGGGUGACCCCGUCUACUACGACAGCUUCCAGGGACCUCCUGUUUCACUGAGUCGGCCGCUUGAAGCUUCCCUUCCACACUCGCUGUACACGGAUUACCACCCGGCAAAGCACUGGAGACAAAGGAACUCCAUCCAACAGGAUGUCCUGCCUCAGUUUCUCCAGGACCAGGAUGUGGAAAGACUGGGCUGUGUAAUCCUAAAAUUUCUGGUUCUCAUCUCCAUCCUCAUCAGCUCCAUUCUAUUCUUCCUGGUUUCCACCAGCCAAGUUCAAGCCCGGUUGGCCAGCUGGGGCCGGUGCCCGGCUCGUUCUGUCCCCUCCGCCGGCAUUGUCCUCUCUCUUACCCACCUGCAAAUUCUUACUUAUCCUUCAAAAGCCAGCUGUGAUGUCACCACCUCUCAUACCUUUGACUCCUAGGGCGUCUGCCAGCUACUUUUUAAAUUUUAAAAAAGCUCAGGCAGGAUAAACAGAAUAACUAGAUUACUGAAAUUCUUUGUUUUUGCCUUACUGCGAACUAAUUCAGUGCAGUCAUGCUAGUUAUUACCUCUCGUUGCUCUGAAGCACUUACUGGCAAUUGUGUAACUAUUUGAGUACUGACAACUUGGAAAUGAAUAAUAAAUGCAAUUGGUUUGGCUGA